rnacentral:rRNA from 1 species
AUGGCCAAAUCAUCUGACGCGUUAGUCCAGCUCCGACAGCGGCAGCACGUCGUUCGCGGGCAUGUCGUCGCGCUCCCGCGCCGGCAGCACCCACCGGCCGGACCCGUCGCGUUCGAGCCCCUUGUUCGCCGUCUGGCACCACUUCUCCGGAAUGCCCUCCGUGUCGCGCAGCAUCGCCGAACGCUUGUUCACCAGCGCGACGUCACGCCGCGGCGCACCGUCCUCUCGCCGGAACGCGCCGGCGGCGCUCUCGUGGCCGUCCAGCAGGUGCAAGCACAGCUCCAGGUUGUGGGACCCCACCGGGUCGUGAGAGUCCUUGAGGUGCGGCGACUUGGAGACGUUCAGCGCGAGCUCGUGGCCGACGUGCACGUACUCGAACGCCUGCCGGAGUCCAGCCAGCGCCCACAGGCCGCCCAGCACCCCGGAGACGGAGGUCUCGAGCGCCGUCCGGGGGACGGUCGGCACGAGGUCGGUCUUGACGACGACGCGCAGGACGCUGACGUUGCGCGACGUGAGGCCGUCGCAGAAGGCCCUGUUGCCGACGCGCGGCGCGGAGAAGGUGACGGCGCGGACGGGGACGUCCGGGUGCGCGGCCGCGGCGUCCCUGGCGGAGAGCAGGGCCAGCGCGCCGCCGAGGCUGUGCCCUGUGAAGGUGACGUGGACCUCCUCGCCGCGCUUCCCGAAGUGGUCCACCAGCCGCUUGAGCUCGUCGGCGACCUGGUCACGUGCGCUGCGCGCGCCGUACUUGUUCCCGGCGUUGCUGGACGUGUACAAGGUAUGGAACCCCUCGGCCACCAUGGCGCCGUCGCCGUCGGCGGCGUGGAACGGCACGAGGCCCGUCCUCAGGUCCAUGAACCACUCCUCCGCGGCCAUCGUGCCGCGCCACACGACGACGACGUCCCGGUGCCCGACGCGGCUGGCCUCCUCGGCGCCGGCGACCGCGACGUACCCGGCCCAGUUGGCGUGGUCGUCCCAGGCGUCGGCGUGGAGCCGCGCCAUGAGCCACCGGGGGAUAUCGACGUCGCAGGUUGUGUAGAUGAACGCGGUGGCGACGUACCCGUGGCCGGCGAGCCCGAGGGCCGGGAGCAUGCGACGGAGGCCGUGGAGGCAGGUGCCGCAGUUCUUGGACCAGUGGCGGCCGUCGAAGGCGUCGUAGGUGGCCUGCGCGAGGUCGCCGUACCUGAGUAUCUCCGCGCGGAGGCCGGCGUCGAGCGGGUCGAGGAGCGCCGCAUCCCACCCGCCGCCACGGGCGAGCUUAGCGUGAGGGUCGACCGGAGGCGGCAGCGAGGACGUCAGAGGCUGCACGGCAACAGCUAUGGCAACAGAGAUGACACUGAACUGGAGGAGGCGCUUGAAGAUCGACAUCUACGGGCAGAGCUCGCUCGCCGGCGCUCAAGAUCGGCCGUGUUGAGUUGUAUUGCAUUCGCAGCUCUGCCUGUGCAUGGUCGUGGUACGGAAGUAGAUAUAGGCAUAUACUAG